GACGAACGCUGGCGGCGUGCCUAACACAUGCAAGUCGAACGGAGAUAGUUAAUGAAGCUUGCGAUUUAGCUAUCUUAGUGGCGAACGGGUGAGUAACGCGUGGGUAACCUGCCCUUAAGACCGGGACAACAGCUGGAAACGGCUGCUAAUACCGGAUGUAUUGUCCGAGAGGCAUCUCUUGGAGAAGAAAGCUGGCCUCUGAAAAUGCUAGCGCUUAGGGAUGGACCCGCGUCUGAUUAGCUAGUUGGUGGGGUAGCGGCCUACCAAGGCGACGAUCAGUAGCCGGCCUGAGAGGGUAAACGGCCACACUGGGACUGAGACACGGCCCAGACUCCUACGGGAGGCAGCAGUGGGGAAUCUUCCGCAAUGGACGAAAGUCUGACGGAGCAACGCCGCGUGUAUGAAGAAGGCCUUCGGGUUGUAAAAUACUGUUGUUAGGGAAGAACGGCAUCUGUGUAAAUAAUGCAGGUGAUUGACGGUACCUAACGAGGAAGCCCCGGCUAACUACGUGCCAGCAGCCGCGGUAAUACGUAGGGGGCAAGCGUUGUCCGGAAUCAUUGGGCGUAAAGGGCGCGUAGGCGGCAAUAUAAGUCUGAUGUGAAAGUGCGGAGCUUAACU
rnacentral:rRNA from 1 species